rnacentral:rRNA from 1 species
AGGAUGAACGCUGGCGGUGUGCCUAAUACAUGCAAGUCGAACGGGAUCUUCGGAUCUAGUGGCGGACGGGUGAGUAACACGUUGGUACCUACCCCUAAGUGGGGAAUAACUGCCCGAAAGGGUGGCUAAUACCACAUAAUCCCGCAAGGGUAAAGCAGUAAUGCGCUUAGGGAGGGGCCUGCGUCUGAUUAGCUAGUUGGUAGGGUAAUGGCCUACCAAGGCGACGAUCAGUAGCUGGAUCGAGAGGUUGACCAGCCACACUGGGACUGAGAUACGGCCCAGACUCCUACGGGAGGCAGCAGUAAGGAAUCUCCACAAUGGACGAAAGUCUGAUGGAGCAACACCGCGUGCAGGACGACGGUCUUCGGAUUGUAAACUGUCUUUUAUAUGGGAAGAUUAUGACGGUACCAUAUGAAUAAGGACCGCUAACUACGUGCCAGCAGCCGC